UGUGAGAGAGUGAGUGGAGUUGGCAUGUGAGCGGUCUCUACGGAGUAUUAUUGCAUCAAUCUCAAACAUCUGCUGAUUAGGAACCACAUCGAUCUCAAAUCCUCGCCGCUCAAGAACAACCAUAACAACAACAACCAAUCGCUGUUACCAGAGCCUGCCAGAUCCAGCUCUGUUCCUGCUUGGUGUCGGACUCCACUGCUACGUGUCGCUGAGAGAUGACGACAACCUACAGCUGGUGCUAGCCAGACAUCACUUCAGUUUUUUGACUUCAGAAGAUGAACUGAUGCCAACACCAACUGUAAGACAUCGGAUACUUCAUAUGCCACUGCCUGAACCUUGGACUUAGGAUGGACCCCACCGAACCUCACCGAAAUGACCUGCAGGUUGAACUGCGAUGCACCUCAUCAUUUAUCUCUGCCUGCAUCACCUUUGUCUAUUGAUGGACUACACUCUUGAAAUGGAAUACAUUGACUAUCAUUUAAUUGCCAACAAAAGCCUUCAUCAGCCAACUAACAAAGGACAAUGCAUCUAUGUGAAAUUCUGCAGUUAAUCCAGGAUGGACUUCAAAGACAUUAGUCAUUAAUCUUAAAGUUCAUUAAAAAUAUAUAUUUUAUUUUUAUUUUUAAUACACUGGACCUUAAUGCUUAAUUUACAAAUUUAAGACCAGGACUUGCACUGCACACAAAUAACUAAUAUUGGCAUUAUAUUCAUGUUGUUAGCCAGAGGGGAACUGGCCCCCACAGUGAGCCUGGUUUCUCCCAAAGUUAUUUUUCUCCAUUAACCAACAUCUUUGACAUUAUAGAUAUUACGGUUUCAUAUCUAUAUUUUUUUCUUUUUUAAUGCAUGAUUUCCUGUCAAGCUGCUUUGAAACGAUGUGUGUUGUGAAAAGCACUAUACAAAUAAAAAUGAGUUGUUGAGGCAUUUCAUAUUUUACCACCAAACAAGUGUCAAUAUUUCUGUUUAACAGCCUUUAUUACAUGGUCACCCAAAACUCCUACUACCUUUUCAAUGUGUGUGAAACAUUUAAGAACUGAAUAAAAGA